GACGAACGCUGGCGGCGUGCUUAACACAUGCAAGUCGAACGGAAAGGCCCUGCUUUUGUGGGGUGCUCGAGUGGCGAACGGGUGAGUAACACGUGUGUAACCUGCCCUUGACUUUGGGAUAGCUUCAGGAAACUGGGGCUAAUACCGGAUAGGAGCUCCUGCUGCAUGGUGGGGGUUGGAAAGUUUCGGCGGUUGGGGAUGGACUCGCGGCUUAUCAGCUUGUUGGUGGGGUAGUGGCUUACCAAGGCUUUGACGGGUAGCCGGCCUGAGAGGGUGACCGGCCACAUUGGGACUGAGAUACGGCCCAGACUCCUACGGGAGGCAGCAGUGGGGAAUAUUGCACAAUGGGCGGAAGCCUGAUGCAGCAACGCCGCGUGCGGGAUGACGGCCUUCGGGUUGUAAACCGCUUUCGCCUGUGACGAAGCGUGAGUGACGGUAAUGGGUAAAGAAGCACCGGCUAACUACGUG
rnacentral:rRNA from 1 species